UACGUAGGGUGCGAGCGUUAAUCGGAAUUACUGGGCGUAAAGCGUGCGCAGGCGGUUCGUUAAGUUCGUUGUGAAAGCCCCGGGCUCAACCUGGGAACUGCAAUGGAAACUGGCGGGCUUGAGUGUGGCAGAGGGGGGUGGAAUUCCGCGUGUAGCAGUGAAAUGCGUAGAGAUGCGGAGGAACACCGAUGGCGGAGGCAGCCCCCUGGGCCAACACUGACGCUCAGGCACGAAAGCGUGGGGAGCAAACAGG
rnacentral:rRNA from 1 species